GCUUGCGCUGGCGCAAACCCCACUCCAGCGUGCUAGACGGUGGCCGGCUCGUGGGUGCUGCUGCAGUCGCCGCCGGCGGUGUUCCCGCUCAGCUCCAACGACGACCCCAUGCCGCCGUCCACAGAAAUCACACCACGCCACCCUGUCUACUGCUGCGGCCCUAUCUUUCUCACAUGGCCUGUAUCCUCUCCAUCGACCCCGACGAUGCCAUCCUGAGUUUCUUGUGGCUCAGAUUGUCUCCACCGCAAGAUCUAGGGGAUGGCGAUGGUACGUGUUCUGAUAGGAGUGCACUGGAGGUUGCUGAGGUUACAUCACAGCCCAUGGCGGAGUUGCUCGAGAUCGGGAAUCAACCCAACAGGUUCAUAUUAGUCAAGAUCCUGUGUGGGAUUUGACUGCGGCUCUAAGGAUCUUGCCACGCCCAAUCUCGCGUGCUUCGGCGGAACACUCUCCCUCAACGACAUCCUUGCCAACGCUACGCUGCUCUCUAGGCCAUCGACGCCUUGUCCAUGUAUGCUUCGCUGCCGGGGAGGUGAGGCACCAGCUUUGCUGCUUGGGACACGGAGCACCUGGUGGUGCGUCCCGCAGAGUAGCAUUAGUGCAGGUGGCCGGUGGAUGUGUCCCAAGAUUGAGGAUCCACAACCACAAGCAGGCUUCAGCUAUCCUUGCUCGUGGAUGCAAAUGUGACAAAGGUGAUAUAGAUUUUUCUUUUUGCACCCACUUUAUUUUUCCUUCUCCUUAAUUACUUCUUCUUGUACUG